GGCGAACGGGUGAGUAACACGUAGGUGAUCUACCCUUGAGUUGGGGAUAGCCCAUGGAAACAUGGGGUAAUACCGAAUGAGGUCACCGGACUGUGGUCUGGUGAAGAAAAGCGCUUCGGCGCUGCUCGGGGAUGAGCCUGCGGCUGAUUAGCUAGUUGGUAGGGUAAGAGCCUACCAAGGCGACGAUCAGUAGCCGGCCUGAGAGGGUGAGCGGCCACACUGGGACUGAGAUACGGCCCAGACUACUACGGGAGGCAGCAGCUAAGAAUCUUCCGCAAUGGACGAAAGUCUGACGGAGCGACGCCGCGAGGGUGAAGAAGGCCGGAAGGUUGUAAAGCCCUUUUCUGACUGAGGAAUAAGCGCACGAGGCAAUGCGUGCGUGAUGACGGUAAGUCAGGAAUAAGCCCCGGCCAAUUACGUGCCAGCAGCCGCGGUAACACGUAUGGGGCGAGCGUUGUUCGGAAUUAUUGGGCGUA
rnacentral:rRNA from 1 species